AGUGAACGCUGGCGGUAGGCCUAGCACAUGCAAGUCGAACGGCAGCACAGUAAGAGCUUGCUCUUACGGGUGGCGAGUGGCGGACGGGUGAGGAAUACAUCGGAAUCUACUUUUUCGUGGGGGAUAACGUAGCGAAACUUACGCUAAUACCGCAUACGACCUACGGGUGAAAGCAGGGGAUCUUCGGACCUUGCGCGAUUGAAUGAGCCGAUGUCGGAUUAGCUAGUUGGCGGGGUAAAGGCCCACCAAGGCGACGAUCCGUAGCUGGUCUGAGAGGAUGAUCAGCCACACUGGAACUGAGACACGGUCCAGACUCCUACGGGAGGCAGCAGUGGGGAAUAUUGGACAAUGGGCGCAAGCCUGAUCCAGCCAUACCGCGUGGGUGAAGAAGGCCUUCGGGUUGUAAAGCCCUUUUGUUGGGAAAGAAAAGCAGCAGGUUAAUACCCCGCUGUUCUGACGGUACCCAAAGAAUAAGCACCGGCUAACUUCGUG
rnacentral:rRNA from 1 species